GGUGGAGUAUUUUAGUGGUAGUGGUUAAUGUAGUAUAGUGGAGUAUUUUAGUGUAGUGUUAAUGUAGUAUAGUGGAGUAUUUAGUGUAGUGUAGUGUUAAUGUAGUAUAGUGGAGUAUUUUAGUGUAGUGUUAAUGUAGUAUAGUGGAGUAUUUUAGUGUAGUGUUAAUGUAGUAUAGUGGAGUAUUUUAGUGUAGUGUUAAUGUAGUAUAGUGGAGUAUUUUAGUGUAUUGUAGUUGUAAUGUAGUAUAGUGGAGUAUUUUAGUGUAUUAUAGUGUAGUGUUAAUGUAGUAUAGUGGAGUAUUGUAGUGUAUGUAGUGGUUAAUGUAGUAUAGUGGAGUAUUUUAGUGUAGUGUAGUGUUAAUGUAAUUAUGUGGAGUAUUUUAGUGUAGUGUUAAUGUAGUAUAGUGGAGUAUUUUAGUGUAGUGUUAAUGUAGUAUAGUGGAGUAUUUUAGUGUAGUGUUAAUGUAGUAUAGUGGAGUAUUUUUAGUGUAGUGUUACUGUAGUAUAGUGGCGUAUUUUAGUGUAGUGUUAAUGUAGUAUAGUGGAGUAUUUUAGUGUCGUGUUAAUGUAGUCUAGUGGAGUCUUUUAGUGUAGUGUUAAUGUAGUAUAGUGGAGUAUUUUAGUGUAGUGUUAAUGUAGUAUAGUGGAGUAUUUUAGUGUAGUGUAGUGUUAAUGUAGUAUAGUGGAGUAUUUAGUUGUAGUGUAGUGUUAAUGUAGUAUAGUGGAGUAUUUUAGUGUAGUGUUAAUGUAGUAUAGUG
ensembl:lncRNA